rnacentral:rRNA from 1 species
AGAGUUUGAUCCUGGCUCAGGAUGAACGCUGGCGGCGUGCUUAACACAUGCAAGUCGAACGAACCUUCGGGUUAGUGGCGGACGGGUGAGUAACACGUGAGAAUCUGCCCUCAGGAGGGGGAUAACAGUUGGAAACGACUGCUAAUACCCCAUAUGCCGAGAGGUGAAAUGAAUUUCGCCUGGGGAUGAGCUCGCGUCUGAUUAGCUUGUUGGUGGGGUAAUAGCCUACCAAGGCUUCGAUCAGUAGCUGGUCUGAGAGGACGAUCAGCCACACUGGGACUGAGACACGGCCCAGACUCCUACGGGAGGCAGCAGUGGGGAAUUUUCCGCAAUGGGCGAAAGCCUGACGGAGCAACGCCGCGUGAGGGAUGGAGGCCUUUGGGCUGUAAACCUCUUUUCUCAAGGAAGAAGAUCUGACGGUACUUGAGGAAUAAGCCACGGCUAAUUCCGUGCCAGCAGCCGCGGUAAUACGGGAGUGGCAAGCGUUAUCCGGAAUUAUUGGGCGUAAAGCGUCCGCAGGCGGCCGUUUAAGUCUGUUGUUAAAUCGUGGAGCUCAACUCCAUCACGGCAAUGGAAACUGUUCGGCUUGAGUAUGGUAGGGGCAGAGGGAAUUUCCAGUGUAGCGGUGAAAUGCGUAGAUAUCGGGAAGAACACCAGUGGCGAAAGCGCUCUGCUGGGCCAUUACUGACGCUCAUGGACGAAAGCCAGGGGAGCGAAAGGGAUUAGAUGCCCCUGUAGUCCUGGCCGUAAACGAUGAACACUAGAUGUUGGGGGAAUCGACCCCCUCGGUGUCGUAGCUAACGCGUUAAGUGUUCCGCCUGGGGAGUACGCACGCAAGUGUGAAACUCAAAGGAAUUGACGGGGGCCCGCACAAGCGGUGGAGUAUGUGGUUUAAUUCGAUGCAACGCGAAGAACCUUACCAAGGCUUGACAUCCUGCGAAUCUCUAAGAAAUUAGAGAGUGCCUUCGGGAACGCAGUGACAGGUGGUGCAUGGCUGUCGCCAGCUCGUGUCGUGAGAUGUUGGGUUAAGUCCCGCAACGAGCGCAACCCACGUUUUUAGUUGCCAGCAUUCAGUUGGGCACUCUAGAAAGACUGCCGGUGACAAACCGGAGGAAGGUGUGGACGACGUCAAGUCAUCAUGCCCCUUACGCCUUGGGCUACACACGUACUACAAUGCUGCGGACAAAGAGUAGCGAUCUUGCGAAAGUUAGCUAAUCUCAUAAACCGUGGCUCAGUUCAGAUCGUAGGCUGCAACUCGCCUACGUGAAGGAGGAAUCGCUAGUAAUCGCAGGUCAGCAUACUGCGGUGAAUACGUUCCCGGGCCUUGUACACACCGCCCGUCACACCAUGGAAGUUGGCCAUGCCCGAAGUCGUUACUCUAACCUUUUGGAAGAGGGCGCCGAAGGCAGGGCUAAUGACUGGGGUGAAGUCGUAACAAGGUAACC